CCCUAUGAAUAAGCAAAAACUUGCCAAGGCAGAGAGCUCCUGCUGACUUAAAGCCAGGCCCAUGAAUGAGGGCCACCUGCUCACCAGGCUUGGGCUGUCAGGGUGGAGGGAGACAGCAGGGCUGGGCUGUAGGAGAUCUGCCACUGUGAUCAGGGGAUUGGGCAGUCUCUGCAGAGGACUCUGUAUUCUUCGCUAUCUAGGCAAAGGUGGAGCGAACUCUGAGGUGGUAAAGAGUGACACGAAAAGCCUGGAAUCCUGCACUGUGAGAGCAGGAUUUGGUCUUGAUGAGAACUGAGUGGCAAAGGUGCAUAAGGAAAUUCUUUUGAAAAUAGAUGCUAGUAUACUCAGGCAAGAACUUCAGGUUGUUGGGGCUGGGAGCAGUAUCCAGUCAAGAAGAAAAUGAGCAGCAAGCUGACUGACUCUGAGACUUUUGUGCUGGGAGCCUACAGUCUACAGGACCUCAGCCGGCAUCCUGCGCUGUCCCUGUGCGAGUUUUCAGGAGAAGACAUCUGAUUUAAGAAGUAAAGUACGCCGUGGGAUAAAGCCCAGCUGCGGAACUCGGCACCCAAAGCCCAGCAGGAUGUGGUUGUGUUUGUCACCACCUCAUUGUGUGUGCUGGAGGCACCCAUGAACCACAGCUCUCUACGUCUAGCCACACGGACGCAUCGCAGACAGUUUGCCUGAGCGUCUUUCUCACUCUUGUGGUUUAAAACAGCUUCUGUGCCAUUCCCCAGUCCCUUGCUCUCUCUUCUUAUUCUUUGGUUCUUAAUAAUUGGCUUAGCCAUUAUUUCCUUUGUAUUUCCUUUGUAUUAUCUCUUGGGUGACACACACAUGGAAUCAUAACCAUUUGGUUGGUCCUUCCUUCCUUCCUUCCUUCCUUCCUUCCUUCCUUCCUUCCUUCUCCCAUUGGACUAUGAGCCCCAGAGAAUGAAAACCAUGCCUUACGUGUGGCUGCUUCUUGGCCCUGAGUAGUAGCUCAGAGACAGGUGGGAAUGAACCAAGAUCUUGUGAGAGGCCCUGGAGCUUUGUCAUUUCAAACUCUGGUCUCUAAAGGACAAGGCAUUGAUCAACUGGAAAUAAACACGAGCUAUGAGAAGAACCAGGUACUGUUUACUAGAGAUCAAGCUGGGGGCUGGAGAGAUGGCUCAGGCUCACAACCAAAAAAAUAAGAGGUUAAGCUGGACAUAAUACAUGGGAAAAACUACAAAUAGAGGCGUUGUUGGCGAUAAAGACACGCGCAGAGCCAGUGUUGCACUGGUGGGGUGGUGUACUUGGGAUAGAGGGGGAGGUGGGGUUGGAGCUAAGAGAGUCAUCAUAUCCUAGAGCUUCCAAGGAAAGAGGAGGCAGAGGGCAGGGUCAAUGCUGGUAAAGGCACUGUCAAUUGACGUUCUUAGCAGGGAUGGGGGAUGGGAGAAGCUACAGAAAAAUUUCUAAGGCCAAAUGACUGAAAAUCUGUAUUAUGGAAAGAUUUCUGAGACCAAAUGACUGAAAUUCUUUAUUAUGGAAAGGUGUAGAACCAACCCUAUGCCAUGAUUUCCAUUCUGUGGAGCAUGUAGUCCAACCAGAGAGAAAGAGAGAGAGAGCCAAAUGGCUAUGAUUCUGAAUACCACUAUGAGGUAAAAAUAGAAGCAAAGGAAAUGGUAAUUAAGCCAGUUGUUAAGAACAAAAGAAUAAUAGCAAGAGGAAGGAGAAAGGAGGAGUUGGAAGAGGGGUUUCCUAAGCAAUGAGAGAGAGAGAGAGAGAGACUGGCAGGUUUAUGAGGAGUAUUGGCUUGGCUGGAAGUGGAGAGCUGCGUGUUUCAGAUGGGAGAUUUGCAGGCCGGAGCCAAAAUGUCUUGGGCCACUUUGAAAUUUUUUGAAAACCUUCUAUUGUCCACCUCUGCUUCAGGCUUAACAUCCUUGUGUCUACCACAAUCUUUCAAUGUUUUGAGGAAGCCACUGCCUUCCACAAUCCAAAAGCUAAGAAUGUCAUCAGAUAGCGUCUGCAACCUAGAACAGUCCCCUACUCGAUGUACCCAUGGCCCCACCCAUGUGUUCCUAAAGUCCCUUGAUUUAUGACUUUGAUCUGUAACUGAUAAUCUCUCAUGGAACCACUCCUUCUGUGGAACAUGGUUUCUGGGGAAACCUGACUCCUGGGCCAAGAUCACUUAUAUUUGGCUCCAGAAUAAAAUCUUUUAUUCCCUUCAAGGUGA